CAGUUCGGAUCGCAGGCUGCAACCCGCCUGCGUGAAGUUGGAAUCGCUAGUAAUCGCGGAUCAGCAUGCCGCGGUGAAUACGUUCCCGGGCCUUGUACACACCGCCCGUCACACCAUGAGAGUCGGGAACACCCGAAGUCCGUAGCCUAACCGCAAGGGGGGCGCGGCCGAAGGUGGGUUCGAUAAUUGGGGUGAAGUCGUAACAAGGUAUC
rnacentral:rRNA from 1 species